rnacentral:rRNA from 1 species
UACGUAGGGGGCAAGCGUUGUCCGGAUUUACUGGGCGUAAAGAGCGUGUAGGCGGCCACGCAGGUCCGUUGUGAAAACUGGAGGCUCAACCUCCAGCUGUCGACGGAAACCGUAUGGCUAGAGUCCGGAAGAGGAGAGUGGAAUUCCUGGUGUAGCGGUGAAAUGCGCAGAUAUCAGGAAGAACACCAAUGGCGAAGGCAGCUCUCUGGGACGGUACUGACGCUGAGGCGCGAAAGCUAGGGGAGCAAACGGG